rnacentral:rRNA from 1 species
UACGUAGGGGGCUAGCGUUGUCCGGAAUCAUUGGGCGUAAAGCGCGUGUAGGCGGCCCGGUAAGUCCGCUGUGAAAGUCGGGGGCUCAACCCUCGGAUGCCGGUGGAUACUGUCGGGCUCGAGUGCGGGAGAGGCGAGUGGAAUUCCUGGUGUAGCGGUGAAAUGCGCAGAUAUCAGGAGGAACACCGAUUGCGAAGGCAGCUCGCUGGAACGUUACUGACGCUGAGACGCGAAAGCGUGGGGAGCAAACAGG